UACGUAGGCAGCAAGCGUUGUUCGGAAUUACUGGGCGUAAAGAGUGUGUAGGCGGUGCUCUAAGUUUGGUGUGAAAUCUCCCGGCUCAACUGGGAGGGUGCGCCGAAAACUGGAAUGCUUGAACAUGGGAGAGGAAAGCGGAAUUCCUGGUGUAGCGGUGAAAUGCGUAGAUAUCAGGAGGAACACCUGCGGUGUAGACGGCUUUCUGGACCAUUGUUGACGCUGAGACACGAAAGCGUGGGGAGCAAAAGGG
rnacentral:rRNA from 1 species